CAUUUAUGGGUAAGAGAUUGGGCAUGCGUUCUAUUAGUUAGUUGGAGUGGUAACGGNACCCCCAAGACAGCGAUAGAUAGGGGCCCUGAGAGGGGGAUCCCCCACACUGGUACUGAGACACGGACCAGACUCCUACGGGAGGCAGCAGUGAGGAAUAUUGGACUAAUGGGCGAGAGCCUGAUCCAGCCAUGCCGCGUGCAGGAAGACGGCCCUAUGGGUUGUAAACUGCUUUUGUACGGGUAAGAGACACCCCCUCGUGAGGGGGCUUGACGGUACCGUAAGAAUAAGGAUCGGCUAACUCCGUG
rnacentral:rRNA from 1 species